rnacentral:rRNA from 1 species
ACUCAAAGGAAUUGACGGGGACCCGCACAAGCAGCGGAGCAUGUGGUUUAAUUCGAAGCAACGCGAAGAACCUUACCAAGACUUGACAUUACUUGACCGUCCCGGAGAUGGGAUUUCGGUAGCAAUACCGCAAGUGGACAGGUGGUGCAUGGUUGUCGUCAGCUCGUGUCGUGAGAUGUUCGGUUAAGUCCGGCAACGAGCGCAACCCUUAUGAUAUGUUGCCAAUAUUAAGUUAGGAACUCAUAUCAGACUGCCGUGGAUAACACGGAGGAAGGUGGGGACGACGUCAAAUCAUCAUGCCCCUUACGUCUUGGGCUACACACGCGCUACAAUGGCUGUCACAAAGAGCAGCAAACCCGCAAGGGCAAGCGAAUCUCAGAAAAACAGUCUCAGUUCAGAUUGUGGGCUGCAACCCGCCCACAUGAAGCAGGAGUUGCUAGUAAUCCCGAAUCAGAAUGUCGGGGUGAAUGCGUUCCCGGGUCUUGUACACACCGCCCGU